rnacentral:snRNA from 2 species
GUGCUCACUUUAGCAGCACAUAUGCUAAAAUUGGAACAUUACAGAGGUGAUUAGCAUGGCUUCUGCAAAUUCAUGGAGCAUUCUAUAUUUUU